GUGUUCGUCUAGCAUAUGGUGAUAGAAUAACGCCUGCCACACCUUCGCCUCGAACCCCGUAAACCGCACAUUUAUCAAGCUCCCAUGCCCACUCACAAACAUCCUCGGAAGUGCCUUGGCUUCCUUUCCCUGCCGCUCCCGAUCAAAGGUAUCAACCUCCACAAUCCCAUACGCUUCGCCAGCCUCUCCGCCCUGGCUUAGAUGUUUACUUAUAAUCCUCCGAUCAGCGAGCAAAGUCCAAAUACCUUUUCUCAACCUAUCUCCCAACCGAUUGAGCACCCCGACUCUCUCCUUCGUAUAAAUCCCCAAUGCCUCGAAACCCGCCACCAUUGUCAAGAUGUUAUUAUUAAAAGUCCCCGCAUGGCUCAGCCUCCCCUUUCCCUUCCUCUCUCCCGGAUCAGCAGGCAGGUACAGCUCCAUAAUCUCCCGCCUACCCCCGAAUGCACCAAAACUCAUCCCACCACCAACCCAUUUCCCCAACGUCAUGAUAUCGGGCGUGAUACCAAAAAGCCCC
rnacentral:sRNA from 1 species